AUUGAACGCUGGCGGCAGGCUUAACACAUGCAAGUCGAGCGAGCGCAGGACGGGUGAGUAAUGUCUGGGAAACUGCCUGAUGGAGGGGGACAACUACCGGAAACGGUAGCUAAUACCGCAUACCAUCAGCUGUGCCCAGAUGGGAUUAGCUAGUAGGUGGGGUAAUGGCUCACCUAGGCGACGAUCCCUAGCUGGUCUGAGAGGAUGACCGGCCGCGCUGGAUGUGUAACACGGUCCAGGCUCCUGCGGAUGGCAGCGGUGGGGAAUAUGGCGCGAUGGGCGCCAGCCUGAUGCAGGCAUGCCGCGUGUGUGAAGAAGUCGUUGAGGUUGUAAAUCACUUUCAUCGAGGAGGCGGUACUCGCAGAAGAAGCACCGGCUAACUACGUGCCAGCCGCCGCGGUAAUAC
rnacentral:rRNA from 1 species